GGAAAAGGAAUCGUAUCGUAUGUCUGCUAUCCAGAACCUCCACUCUUUUGACCCCUUUGCUGAUGCAAGUAAGGGUGAUGACCUGCUUCCUGCUGGCACUGAGGAUUAUAUCCAUAUAAGAAUCCAACAGAGAAACAGCAGGAAGACCCUCACCACCGUCCAAGGGAUCGCUGAUGAUUACGAUAAAAAGAAACUGGUGAAGGCGUUUAAGAAGAAAUUUGCCUGCAAUGGUACUGUCAUCGAGCAUCCAGAAUAUGGAGAAGUAAUCCAGCUCCAGGGUGACCAGCGCAAGAACAUAUGCCAGUUCCUGGUAGAGAUCGGACUGGCCAAGGACGAUCAGCUGAAGGUUCACGGGUUUUAAGUGCUUGUGGCUCACUGAAGCUUACGUGAGGAUUUCCUUCCAAUGAGUAGAGCGUCCC